UUUUUUUUUGGUUUAAAAGUAGCUUCUUAAUCAACUAAAGAUAAAUUGAAAUAAGAGUGUUAAAUCUAGUCUUUUUCAAAUAUCUUAGAUUAAAGCUAUGCAACUCUACAUGAGGACAAGCCCUUCAGCUCCUUCGCACACACUCUCCCCUCCCCCGGGGUCAACUUUGACUAGUGGACACAAUAUAGGACCAACAGAGCAAUGACAACAACCCUGCGUACACAAUAGUUGAUAGUGGAAAAUAACAGAAAUGUCAAGUAGUUCCAAAAAGAAAUCCAAGCACUGAAGACUUUAAAAAAAAAAAGAAAAAAGUAUUUUGCAUUCCUGAGGGAUGAAGUACUUUGGAGGGGAGAAGAGGUCCAGUAAUCACUGAGCACCUAUGAUUUUGGUAUGAUGAAUAAGUAAUACAUCUCACUGCCUGUUCAGGAGGAACUAUUAUUGAAUUACAGUGAUAAGCUUGGAACCAUAUUUGAAACUUUUCACCACCGUUUAAAAAAAAAAUUGGUGAUGUUAAACUGAACAAUAAACCUGUCUCCUCCAUCUAUGUUUUAGCCUCCAAGUAAUUGUUCCAAACAGAAAACAUUUUCUGCACCAGUUUCCCUUUCAGUUUAUCAGCUGUUUUAGUUUUUACAAGUCUUCAGUUCUCUUUGCUUGUGGCUUCAGAAGGCAUUUGAACCAAUGUCUGAGAGGUUUAUUACAGAGGUUUGUGCUGAAUGUCACAUUAACUUUGUUUUGGUGGUUCUUGCAUUAAAAACAAAGCAAUUGCCCUUUUAUUUACCUAUCUUAUUAGUGGUGGUAUUAUGCAAUAAUUAAAAUAUAUGGAUAAAUGUUGUAUAAACCAAGGAAAAAUGCUGCUGAUAGAGCCUGUUGGAACAGGCAUCAAUAUAGGAUCUGCAGAAGAAUUCUAUUUUAAAGUGAAAAUUUCUGAUAAACAUUUUGGGUGAGUUUCUUGACUGUUGUUCAAACGAUACUCGUAUAUAGGGAGAUAUGGACCAGGAGGGAGCCAGUAGCAGAUCCUUGAUCGUGAGUUACUCAGCGCCAUCACCAACUAGAACAGCAAUUCCAAUUUGUUCCUGUGGCGGAGUAGGUGCAGUAGAGCUCUGUUCUGUCACAUCCCAUUCCUCU